rnacentral:rRNA from 1 species
AAGUCGUAACAAGGUCUCCGUAGGUGAACCUGCGGAGGGAUCAUUACCGAGUGCGGGCCUCCGCGCCCAACCUCCCAACCCUUUGUCGAUUAAUACCUGUUGCCUCGGGGGGCGACCCGGACGUCGCGCCGGGAGCCCCCCGGAGGUCCAACCGAACACACUGCGUCCUUGCGUCGGAGUAUUGAAAACAAUCAAUCAAAACUUUCAACAACGGAUCUCUUGGUUCUGGCAUCGAUGAAGAACGCAGCGAAAUGCGACAAGUAAUGUGAAUUGCAGAAUUCAGUGAAUCAUCGAAUCUUUGAACGCACAUUGCGCCCCUUUGGCAUUCCGAAGGGCAUGCCCGUUCGAGCGUCAUUACACCACUCAAGCCUGGCUUGGUAUUGGGCGGCGGGGACCCCCCCGCGCCUCCAAUGUGUCGGCUGGACGGUCUGAAUCUCAGCGUUGUGUAAUCAGAUUCGCUGGACGGGGACGACCGGACGCGCCGUUAAAACCGUUCAUCACAGGUUGACCUCGGAUCGGGUAGGGAUACCCGCUGAACUUAA